GCUCUUAUGAAGUUAGCGGCGGACGGGUGAGUAACACGUGGGUAACCUGCCCAUAAGACUGGGAUAACUCCGGGAAACCGGGGCUAAUACCGGAUAACAUUUUGAACCGCAUGGUUCGAAAUUGAAAGGCGGCUUCGGCUGUCACUUAUGGAUGGACCCGCGUCGCAUUAGCUAGUUGGUGAGGUAACGGCUCACCAAGGCAACGAUGCGUAGCCGACCUGAGAGGGUGAUCGGCCACACUGGGACUGAGACACGGCCCAGACUCCUACGGGAGGCAGCAGUAGGGAAUCUUCCGCAAUGGACGAAAGUCUGACGGAGCAACGCCGCGUGAGUGAUGAAGGCUUUCGGGUCGUAAAACUCUGUUGUUAGGGAAGAACAAGUGCUAGUUGAAUAAGCUGGCACCUUGACGGUACCUAACCAGAAAGCCACGGCUAACUACGUGCCAGCAGCCGCGGUAAUACGUA
rnacentral:rRNA from 1 species